AUCGAAUCCGAAAGAAUGAAGGGCUUGGUUGGCUCUUGGAGUGGUAUCAAAUCUCAAAUGGGCCCUCGUGUCACAUAUGCACCUCUGCGCCACUCAACUCCCUUUUAUCCAAUAUCAAGAAAACUCGAUUUCAGUUUUUUAUCACGUGUGUCAUGAGCAAUAACCUGAUGGCCAUAACACUCUCGUCGAAAACAGUUCCAGUCAGACAGUUGUUGGUACUGCACUUCGAUCAUUCGUCAAGGUGUAAUUUGGGUGCUCUAAGUGUAGUUCAAAAAGGACGAAAACCUGUGCUAGAGUGAAAGUUCAGAAACUUGCUUUAUCUGAAUUUGCAGAGCGAGUACACAGAGCGAAAGCAUAGCCUACCGAUUCUUUGAAUCUAUAUGGUUUCUGGUAGGAGGUGUUGGAAAAGUUACUACAUAGAUGACUUUAUUGUAGCUUACUAAGUGUCCAUAGUGACGUUGCUUUAUGGUUUUUUGAUGUCGGCUCUUCUUAUCAUUGCAAAGCAAAAUUAUCUAAGUGUCGGAUUGACUACACAACGGAUUUUAACGGGUAUAAUACUAAUUCUCUGCUCGCUUUGCUUUACUGUCAAUUAAUUGUUUCGAUAGCAAUCCUGCAUAGCACGGCAAAAAUAGCAAAUUUGAACAUUUGGUUCGUAGACUCUAGGGAUCGGUUAAUAGUUUGAAGCUGACGUUUGAAUGAUAAUAAGUGAACGCCUCCAAGCCAGAAUCACACAUAGUAAAGAAAACAAUAUCGUUG
rnacentral:ncRNA from 1 species